ensembl:lincRNA
GUCAGAUUCACAUUCUCAUGUGGCAGCAGCCAAUAAGUGCCUGGGUUAAGCUCCAUUCUUUAGACUGGAUAAGACAUGGUCCCAGGAGCAUGGUAUUGUUUCAAUACUUGUGUGCACAAUCCAGAGAGCAGGGUCUGUAGUUCCCAUCUGACUCCAAGAAGUACUGGGAUUUGCCACCCUGAACCAAAUCAAGAGGAUAUUUCCUUCCAGGUUAUGGUUUUCAGACAUUGGACUGUGAGUUAAAUCACAAGCUCCCCUAGUUCUCAUGUCAUUGGGCUUGAAUUUGUUUACUGGACUAUUGAUAGACUAUGAUGGAGCUCCUAUAUUCUUGUGGGCCAUUCCUACCCUUCAGACCUUGAAACUUACAGCAAAGUUUGCUGCUAUCUCUCAGGCCUUCAAUCUCAGAUUGGGAUUUACAUCAUCAGCUACCAUGAAGUAUGGCCCACAGGUAAAUCACUCGACUAAAUUUGUUCCUUAUUCAUGUUACAGGUGAAGGACUUCCCAAAUUCCAUAAUCUUGUAAGCCAGAACCUAAAAUAGAUCUUUGUCAGAGAUGGAGAUAGAGAUGAUAGAGAUAAAACGUAGAUGAUACAGAGAGAGGGAGAGAGAGAGAGAGAGAGAGAGAGAGAGAGAGAGAGAGAGAGAAAGUUGAAUAUAGAUACAGAUCUAUACAUACAACUUGUUCUGUUUCUCUGAUGAAAAUGUACUUGGAAAUUGCUAGCUAUAUUAGUGAUUCUUGGGAUUCUUAAAAGUCAAUGUAGGCAAUAUCCUACCUAAACUAGCAAUCUGUAUUCAUGCAAAUUCUCUAUAGUUUACUUCUCCUGAGAUAAAGUUCAAAUAGAAUAUCAUGAGAUAACUCAUGUGGCUAUCAUAGGCUAAUACUGCUAAAUUUCAACCCAUGGGAUAAUUUAAAAGAAAAGUAAAUUUGGAUUUCCAAUCAAUGGACUGAAGUUACGGCUUAUUUUGUAAUCAGCACAUCUUUUUGCCUUUCUUACAUAGACCUAUAAAUGCAUAUUUUUAGUAUAACAUACAAGGGAUUAUUUGUUCUAAUUUUGUUCUGAAUAUGGGUUUAUGUAUCUUUCAUAAACAGUUUAAUGUUGAUAGAAUUAGAGAAUAAGGAAUAUUUUCUUCACUCAUCCAAAGAAAAUGUUAUGAAUCUCAAAGUAUUUGCAUAACCUGAAGCAAUUCCCUUCUAUAAAUGGUUACUCUAUAACUAGCUCCCACAUAAAAUAGCUUAUAUCAACCUUGAUUAGAAUUUUGGUAAAUUGAGGAACUUUUGUCAUUUAUGUUAAUUUUUAGACCACUUACAACAUAAAAAAGUCUAAACAACUAAGCAACAAGAUAGUGAAUGCUGCUAACAACAGCUCGAAGGGAAAUUCUUGAGCAAUAAUUUAUUCACACGAACUAACAGAGGAAAAUAAAUCACAGAAGGACCACUGAACUCUGUGAAUGAGUAAUAAAAAGUUUUAUUUGUAUUUCCAUUCAGUGAUUUUUCACUAAGAGUCAACUAUAGAAGUACUCAUUUCUAUGGGCACCGAGGAAGACAUUUUAUUUGCUAAUUCUGGGAUGAUGUCCCUAACCUUUUAAAUUCCCAGCAUUAAUAAGUCACAUAUCCAUGUUUAAAAUAUGGUCUUAUUAACUCAGAGCUAGUGUUUUAGUUCACUAGCAAGGCAGUUCAAAUUCACCCACUUCAACUUAAUCAUUACUUCAUAUCCCCCAGUCCCAGACUUUUGAAAUGUUAAAUAAUACCAAGGUGCAGUCUUUGGGUUUCUUUUAUGUCUAGACUCACCCUGUUGUCUCUUAUAAGAUCAUCAAAUACCAUAUACAUUCUGCUUGCUCAUACAUUUUGACCUCCAGAUAAAAAUUUUACUUGGAAAUUCCUAUCUUUAAUAUUCAAACUCUUAAUCAAUGGUUUUAUUUGU